CCUGCUGACAACACUCCCAAGUCACCAGGCCACUCUUUGUCCGCCGCCCUCGAGGGAGCCCAGAAUCCCAAGUGGCUGGAGCACUGGGGGACAGCCAGACACAGCUCUCCUUGGACCAAGUUCUCCAGGAGCGGGAUGAAGCCAUUGCCAAGAAGCGGGCAGUGGAGGCCGAGCUGGACACAUGCAAAGCUAGGCUGCGCGCUGUGGAGGCCCAGCUGCUGGAGGUCCUGGCAGAGAAACUGAGACUGAGGCAGGAGGUGGAGGCCUGGGAGGUAGGGUGGGAAUGCCAACAGGGCCUGGGAGGAGUGGGGAGGAGGCCACAGGAUUGGCCUUGAGCCUGCUUUCCUGCCCGCAGGAGGACAUGCAGCAGCUGGUGCGGCAGCGGGUGCAGAGUCAGCUGCAGAGAGAGUCCAGGGGUGCUCUGGGAGCCCAUGCAGACCCUGGAGCCACCAGGACCCCCUGGGUCAAAUUCCCUUGGGGUCAGGGACGUUGGUGGUGAGAGCUCAGCCUGGACCUCUGGGAGCAGUGUCUUUAUUCAUUAAAGUCUGAGGUCUGAUCACCCCCA